GCCUCAUUAUCUCAGGAGAUAUACACAGCAUUACCUAAUGUUUGGAGCCUCUGUGGGUAAUCUCAGAGAGUUCCGGGAAAAGCAUAGUCCUUUGUAACUGUGACCUUGUGGUAAUUAUUACUCUCCUGGCCACUGUGGAAAUGUCAGAAUGUCAGAAGACAGAGAUCCUACCCAUUCCUGAUUGUGGUUUUUUUCCAUAACCAUCAUUGUCAUCCUCACCAUCCUUCUUGUUAUUGAUGUUAAGAAUAUAUCAGAACGUCAUUUUGCCCCAUUGUUAAAUGAAAGUACCAGCAAUCACAAAGCCAAAAGAGUUUAAAAUAACUCAGAUCUUCUACUUAAAACUUGACACUAUGAAAUACUUUUGUUUCUAUCUUUAUUUAGAUUGUAUCUAAUAAGCAAGAAGUUAAUCUUUCAUUAAACCACCACAAAAUGUUACUUCACAUCUAUUAUUCCCAAGAGAGUUCUAUGUCAUUUGUUCCAUAAAAAGUUUUAUCCAAAUGUCCUUCUUAAAUGCAUAAUAGUUAAUAGUGCCCCACUUCAUAAGGGCGACAUUAUGCCAGGAUAGACUUUAACCUAACAGUCUUACAAAUGGGCAACUGUUCAUUCCACAGCUAGUUAACCAGAUUCAGAGAGGUUUUUAUAAAUAUUGCUAGUCCUUAGAUUCAAAUUCACAUCUAGCUUUCAUUUUCAAAGCAUAAUCUACCUAUGAUUUUAAGCCCUUCUGUUAAAAUAACCGUUAUUCUUCUGUUGCAAUUGUAGUCUUGGAGGCUAACUGCCUCAGUCUGCUCACCUAGGCCUAGUUCUGGAAGCUUCUAGCCUCUAUAAAUCUAAUCUAGCCCUAGAAUGUUUUCAGUCUCUGAGACUUACUGCAGAAUACACGUAUCCCUUUUUAUUUCUUUCUGAUUUCCCACUGGCUGGUUCUGCUCAGCUGUUCUGGUUCAAACUCCUCUUCAAGCUGACUGAUUCAAUCUAGCUUCACUCAGUUUCUUACUGAAUUUCUUUGCUUAGACUAAUAUUAACUUUGGCAACCUGUUCUAAUCUUCUGGCUCCUUCUCACUCUCUGUCUCCUUCUCUCUCUCUCUCUCUCUCUCUCUCUCUCUCUCUCUCUCUCUCUCUCUCUCUCUCUCUCUCUUUCUCUCUCUCUCUCUAACCUGUCUCUGUACAACUGUCCCAGUAAAACUGCCUUCUUUCUUUUUCUCUGCACUGCUCUCUUAAGUAGCUUGUCUUUUCUGUCUCUUCCCAUAAGAGUUGGUCAUAGAUAUUCUGUCAAAUCUUUCAUAGAUAUUCUGUCAAAUCUUUCUCUGAUUCAUCACUUUGUCUGCCUCUCAAUUAGAUAUCACUUUCAAGCAUGGCUGCUUCCCUCUACAGACUAACUUUACCUUUAUUGUUUGGGAUUAAAGAAGUACACUAAGAGCAUGUCUGUAUUCCGGUCAGAGGAUUAAAGGUGUGUGCUAAGGGCUGAGCAACUAGAAACAUCGUUUUCAGU
rnacentral:lncRNA from 1 species